rnacentral:rRNA from 1 species
UACCCCGCCUGAACUUAAGCAUAUCAAUAAGCGGAGGAAAAGAAACUAACAAGGAUUCCCCUAGUAACUGCGAGUGAAGCGGGAAGAGCUCAAAUUUAAAAUCUGGCGUCCUCUGGCCGUCUGAGUUGUAGUCUGGAGAAGCGUUUUCCGUGUUGGACCGUGUACAAGUCCCUUGGAACAGGGCGUCAUAGAGGGUGAGAAUCCCGUCUUUGACACGGACUACCAAUGCUUUGUGAUGCGCUCUCAAAGAGUCGAGUUGUUUGGGAAUGCAGCUCAAAAUGGGUGGUAAAUUCCAUCUAAAGCUAAAUAUAGGCGAGAGACCGAUAGCGAACAAGUACCGUGAGGGAAAGAUGAAAAGCACUUUGGAAAGAGAGUUAAACAGUACGUGAAAUUGCUGAAAGGGAAACGCUUGAAGUCAGUCACGUCUGCCAGGACUCAGCCUUGCUUCUGCUUGGUGUACUUUCUGGUUUGAUGGGCCAACAUCAAUUUCGACCGUCGGAGAAAGGCUUUGGGAAUGUGGCACCUUUGGGUGUGUUAUAGCCCUUUGUUGUAUACGGCGGUUGGGAUUGAGGACUGCAGCACGCCUUCAUGGCCGGGGUUCGCCCACGUACGUGCUUAGGAUGUUGGCAUAAUGGCUUUAAGCGACCCGUCUUGAAACACGGACCAAGGAGUCUAACAUGCCUGCGAGUGUUUGGGUGGAAAACCCAUGCGCGUAAUGAAAGUGAUAGCUGAGAUCCUCUCAUCAGGAGCAUCAGCGCCUGGACUUGAUCUACGGAGACGGUUCUACGGUAGAGCAUGUAUGUUGGGACCCGAAAGAUGGUGAACUAUGCCUGAAUAGGGUGAAGCCAGAGGAAACUCUGGUGGUGGCUCGUAGCGAUUCUGACGUGCAAAUCGAUCGUCAAAUUUGGGUAUAGGGGCGAAAGACUAAUCGAACCCAUUCCAAGUGCCCC